rnacentral:rRNA from 1 species
AGUGAACGCUGGCGGUAGGCCUAACACAUGCAAGUCGAACGGCAGCACAGUAAGAGCUUGCUCUUACGGGUGGCGAGUGGCGGACGGGUGAGGAAUACAUCGGAAUCUACUUUUUCGUGGGGGAUAACGUAGGGAAACUUACGCUAAUACCGCAUACGACCUACGGGUGAAAGCAGGGGAUCUUCGGACCUUGCGCGAUUGAAUGAGCCGAUGUCGGAUUAGCUAGUUGGCGGGGUAAAGGCCCACCAAGGCGACGAUCCGUAGCUGGUCUGAGAGGAUGAUCAGCCACACUGGAACUGAGUCACGGUCCAGCCUCCUACGGGAGGCAGCAGUGGGGAAUAUUGGACAAUGGGCGCAAGCCUGAUCCAGCCAUACCGCGUGGGUGAAGAAGGCCUUCGGGUUGUAAAGCCCUUUUGUUGGGAAAGAAAAGCAGCAGGUUAAUACCCCGCUGUUCUGACGGUACCCAAAGAAUAAGCACCGGCUAACUUCGUG